rnacentral:rRNA from 1 species
UACGUAGGGUCCGAGCGUUGUCCGGAAUUACUGGGCGUAAAGAGCUCGUAGGUGGUUUGUCGCGUUGUUCGUGAAAACUCACAGCUUAACUGUGGGCGUGCGGGCGAUACGGGCAGACUUGAGUACUGCAGGGGAGACUGGAAUUCCUGGUGUAGCGGUGGAAUGCGCAGAUAUCAGGAGGAACACCGGUGGCGAAGGCGGGUCUCUGGGGCAGUAACUGACGCUGAGAUACGAAAGCGUGGGGGAGCAAACAGG